GUUGCCGUGAUGAGAAGCUAACUGAUGAGAAACCCUCUUCGGAUGGGAUUAAAAAGAUUUUCAAUAGUUACGCUUGGCUUCUGAGCACC
rfam:Picea glauca, whole genome shotgun sequence.